UGUAAAUCAAUUGCAGUUAGAGGCUACAUUCAUUUUCUUUCUGUAAGCACUUAUUGAAAUUAUCUGAGCACAUUACAAGUACAUAUUUGCUUACUCUGUAUGCUCAAAUGUGACCCGUUAUAGCCAACAGAAAAAAAGCGGAGGCCCGAAAAACAGGUGGGGGUCCUCCACCACCACCACUCACAGAGGCUGAGCAGUUGGCCCUCAGCCAAAACAGUGGGCGCCCUGUGGCUGAAGGCAUCUCUGCGGGGACAUCCUCUGAGUCAAUAACCCCGCAAGACACAAGUGCCUACAUAAGAGUUGAUGGUGAUGGUGUACUGCAUCUGGUGCAGCCUCCUGUUGAGCCAGACCAACAUGCAGUUGAAAUUGAAGAAACAUUGACAGCUGUUACAGAGGAGGAAGCAACAGAGACACUUUAUGAGAGUGAUGAUGGAAAUGCAGAGGAAGAGGGUCCAGCCACUUCUCCAACAAACCUUUCCUCAGUAAGAUGUUCAGCACUGAUUUACAACCAACCUAAGUAGGCAUGUACUAUGAAUGUCAAUGCUAUUUCCUGUGUUUCCAUAGCUCCCUGUAAAGCAGCUGUAUAAGAAAUACUUGAUCAAGAAAAUAGAAAAAUGCGACUUGGAAAUGGAACACUUCAAGCAGCAGAUCCAAAAGACCAAGCUUGAGAUUUUACUGCUGGAACAUCAGUUAAGGGUGGGUGAAGUGGUCAGAGAUGGACGAAUUAUUUCAGUGUUUGAACAACAUAAUAAUAUACUUAUUAAUACUUUGUGUAGAGGAAAUACAGGCGACCAAUAAA